GCAAGCUAAACUGCGGAUCUGAAUAGAAGAUCUGACUAAGAUACAUAUUUUAACAUGCUGGGGUUACACACUGCAUAUAUUUGCCACUGGCCCCUGUCACCCCUCCUACAGCCUUGGCUAACUGUGAUGAUGGGAGAACGCGAUUCCCUAUGGUUAGCAAAAUAAGUAAGUUAAAACAAUAUGGAACAUUGGAGCAUAAUAACGGUACAGGGUGCCUGUUCAGCCAGAGGUGUUAAGUAUCAAGCUAUGGUGAAGCCAUUUUAAGCUAGUCAGGGUAAGUACUGCUGUGUGUGUCCUGAUGUGGUGGGAGGCCUGUGGCAGGAUAUAGCCCUACGUUUACAACUACCCGAUGCCCCUCAGUGGGUAUCUACAGUCCCAACCAGUGGAGUGUCCAGUAAGGCAGGGUAGGUACAGGACCUUGU